rnacentral:lncRNA from 1 species
CUAAAAUCUAGAACGCUGACAACACCAAAUGCUGGUGAGAAUGUGGAUUAACAGGAACUCUUAUUCAUUGCUAGUGGGAAUGCCAAAUGGUACAGCUACUUUGGGAGACAAUUUGGUGGUUUCUUAAAAAAACUAAACAUACUCUUACCAUCCAGCAAUCAUGCUCCUUGGUAUUUACCCAAAGGAGUGAAAAACUGUCCACACAAAAACCUGCAUGUGGGUGUUCAUGUCAGCCUUAUUCAUAAUUGCCAGAACAUGGAAGCAACCAAGAUGUCCUUCAGUAGGUGAACAGAUAAACUGUAAUACAUACAGAGAAUGACAUAUUAUGCAGUCCUAAAGAGAAACUAUGAAGCCAUGAGAAGAUACAGAAAACACGUAUUAUGAGGGAAAGAAGCCAAUCUGAAACAGCUGCAUACCGUAUGAUUUCAGUUAUAUGACAUUCUGGAAAAGGCAAAAUUAUAGAGACAAUAAAAAUAUCAGGGGUUGGGUAGAGAGAGGGAUGAAUAGGCAGAGCCCAGAAAAUUUUUAGGGCAGUGAACCUAAUCUGCCUGAUGCUAUAAUGAUGAAUACAUGUCAUUGUAAAUUUGUCUAAACCCAUAGAAUGUAUAACACCAAGAGUGAACCCUAAUGCAAACUAUGGACUCUGGGUGAUAAUGAUGUGUUAGUGUAGGAUCAUCAGUUAUAACAGAGGUACCCUCUGGUGGUGGCAGGGUGGGGGAAUAUGGGAAAUCUGCUCAGUGUUGCUGUGAACCUAAAACUGGUCUAAAAAAUAAAGACCGUUUUAAAAAAGAUAAAGUAAUAAAAAAUAUGCUCACAGCUCAGUUGUGAUACUAGUAAUGCAAUUUUUAUGCAAAAUUAUGCUUUUGAAGAAAUCAGAAUUCUCAAUUUUUUGGUGAUUAUUUAAAUUUUCCUCAUUUUUAUAUGGUUUCUUUUAAAAUGUUUCACUUUUUUCCCUGAUUUAUAUUAGAAUGGCAAUGUAUGCUUAACACUUGUAUUUUUAUAAGUUUAUGAGUUUUUAAUGUUCUGAAAUGUUAUUUUUUACUUCAAAUGUGUUGAACAUUUAACUUGUUAAAACAUUCCAGGCUGGGCACAGUGGCUCACGCCUGUAGUCCUAGCACUUUGGGAGGCUAAGGCAGGAGGAUCACUUGAGCCCAGGAGUUUGAGGCCAGCCUGGGCAACAUAGUGAGACCCCAUAUGUUUUAAAAAAAAAUUCUG